AUGGAAUACAUCACUUUCAAAUUGCAACUGCAAAUGGUCUUGUUAAAGGUAUCAUCAGGCAAACUUAAAGAUGAUCUGACAAUGUCAUUUUCCAAGGGACUGAUAGAAAGAUUGAGUAUUAUGGAAUCUGAACAGACAACAGAGAAUCAGCAAGAACUUCUAAGUAAAUCUUACAUGUUAAAAUUUGUUUGGAGAAGAAAAAAAACGGUGUUGUGAAUUUCAGUUUGAAUCAGAAGACAUUUUGACAUUAUUCAUGUGGAAAAUAUUUAUGUGCAUAAAACAAACGAAUAAAAUGAAGCCAU
rnacentral:lncRNA from 1 species